UGAGGAAUUUUGCGCAAUGGGAGCAAUCCUGACGCAGCAACGCCGCGUGGGUGAUGAAGGCCUUCGGGUCGUAAAGCCCUGUCAGGUGGGAAGAAUGUCCCGGGACUGAACAGGUUCCGGGAGUGACGGUACCACCAGAGGAAGCACCGGCUAACUCCGUGCCAGCAGCCGCGGUAAUACGGAGGGUGCAAGCGUUAUUCGGAAUUACUGGGCGUAAAGCGCGUGUAGGCGGUCCUGCAAGUCUGAUGUGAAAGCCCCGGGCUUAACCCGGGAAGUGCAUUGGAAACUGUGGGACUUGAGUACUGGAGAGGAUGGGGGAAUUGCCGGUGUAGAGGUGAAAUUCGUAGAGGUCGGGGGGAAUAUCAGUGGCGAAGGCGCCCAUCUGGACGUUAACUGACGCUGAGGCGCGAAAGCGUGGGGAGCAAGCA
rnacentral:rRNA from 1 species